AGGUCAGCUCACAGUUAACCUCACAGGUCAGCUCACAGGUAACCUCACAGGUAACCUCACAGGUCAGCUCACAGGUCAGCUCACAGGUAACCUCACAGGUCAGCUCACAGGUAACCUCACAGGUCAGCUCAAAGCUUUUGGAGUCCAACGUUUAUAGGUAGGGCCCUGAGUAUUUCCCAGUCAGGAAAAACUAAGGGCUUUACACAGUUUUGAAUUCAAAGUGCUUUCCUCACACCCUAACACUGACCAUUUAGUAUUCUCCUUUUUGCAUCAUGAUUUCCACUGUGCAGAGGAUCCAUCAAGAAUUCUUGCUUUCGUCACAUUAACCUCUAUUAGUAUCCAAUAUAAAUUGACUUACCCUACCAACAUGACCUUAUUGAUUGCAUACCUGAAUGUGACGUGAUUUUCAAUUAUAUUGAUUCUGAUUUUGUGUGUUACAGUACGAGACCAGCACCAGGGUCCUGGAAAUGUUGCGGAUAAACAGGAAAUUCCAAAGAACAGUUACAUGAGUGUGGCUGCUGUAUGUGUGGCAGUAGCCUCUCUUGCCAUUGGACUGCUGCUUCUCAAGCUGUUUCAAGCCAGAAGACUCAGACAAGAGCCUCAGGAUACAGCCGUCCCAGCAGAGCACAACCCAAGCACCAGGACAGGACCGUUUCCGUAAGCGACAGAUGUAUUAUCAGGGGUGCCAUGUCUGCUCUGUCUCUCACGUCACAUCGCUAACUGAAUGUGAAUGCUUUGACUGGAGGAGGGAGCAAUCUGGCUCAACACUAUUCUGUUCCCCCUCUGCAGGAGAAAUGGAGUGCACGCAUUGUCCUGCUACCAAGCUAAUUGUUAGCAGCAUUGUCUGUAGUUGUUAAUCACAGACUAUUCUUUCAUAAUUGUUUUAUAUAUUGUAACUAAAACUGAAACAAAUGCACAUAUUUAGUGGACAUUGAUUUGACAGUGAAGACACUCGUGUGAUACAGUAGCAGUGUGUGAAAUUGAUCUUGACAGAACACAUUUACUUUGUGCAUCACAAUUUGAAUAAGUAAUUUAUUCAGAAGCCAAUAUUGUGUUUUAGUUCAUUUGAGAGUUGCUUUAGUUGACAAAUGCCAUGUUUUUUAUUGUUACAAAGUGGGAUUCAUAUGUAUUUAAUUGUCAUUUUUUUUGUAAACAAUCUACAUAAUAUACUCUGUCAAAGUGGAAGAAAAAAUAACACAAAAAAAGUGUAGCGACCCGAACAGCUGUGUUAUGUAUUAUGCUGUUGGUUGUGUUGUACUUACCAGUACGCAGUGUUCGCAGGGUCCCACAUGCCAGUCAAUCUGCUAUUGUGUCCUUUACCAUUUGUACAUUGUUAAACAAAACACUGUGUAUAUAUAUAUAUAUAUAUAUAUAUAUAUAUAUAUAUAUAUAUAAUAUGACAUUUGUAAUGUCUUUAUUGUUUUGAAACUUCUGUAUGUGUGAUGUUUACUGUUAAUUUUUAUUGUUUAUUUCACUUUAUAUAUGAUCUGCCUCACUUGCUUUGGCAAUGUUAACACGUUUCCCAUGCCAAUAAAGCCCUUGAAUUGAA